rnacentral:rRNA from 1 species
UGGGGAAUAUUGCACAAUGGGGGAAACCCUGAUGCAGCGACGCCGCGUGAGCGAUGAAGUAUUUCGGUAUGUAAAGCUCUAUCAGCAGGGAAGAAAAAAGACGGUACCUGACUAAGAAGCACCGGCUAAAUACGUGCCAGCAGCCGCGGUAAUACGUAUGGUGCAAGCGUUAUCCGGAUUUACUGGGUGUAAAGGGAGCGUAGACGGUCUGGCAAGUCUGAUGUGAAAACCCGGGGCUCAACCCCGGGACUGCAUUGGAAACUGUUAGACUAGAGUGUCGGAGAGGUAAGUGGAAUUCCUAGUGUAGCGGUGAAAUGCGUAGAUAUUAGGAGGAACACCAGUGGCGAAGGCGGCUUACUGGACGAUGACUGACGUUGAGGCUCGAAAGCGUGGGGAGCAAACAGG